rnacentral:rRNA from 1 species
UACGAAGGGGGCUAGCGUUGUUCGGAAUUAUUGGGCGUAAAGGGUGCGUAGGCGGUUUGGUAAGUCUGAUGUGAAAUCUAUGGGCUCAACUCAUAGUCUGCAUCGGAAACUGCCGGGCUUGAGUAUGGGAGAGGUGAGUGGAAUUCCUGGUGUAGCGGUGAAAUGCGUAGAUAUCAGGAGGAACACCUGUGGCGAAAGCGGCUCACUGGACCAUAACUGACGCUGAUGCACGAAAAGCUAGGGGGAGCAAACAGG